GGUUUUAUGGUGUAACGGUUAGCACUCCAGACUCUGAAUCUGGCGAUCUGGGUUCAAAUCCCGUUAAAACCU
rfam:Perkinsus marinus ATCC 50983 gcontig_1104296287462, whole genome shotgun sequence.